GAUGAACGCUGGCGGCGUGCCUAAUACAUGCAAGUCGAGCGAACAGACGAGGAUCUUGCUCCUCUGACGUUAGCGGCGGACGGGUGAGUAACACGUGGAUAACCUACCUCUAAGACUGGGAUAACUUCGGGAAACCGGAGCUAAUACCGGAUAAUAUAUUGAACCGCAUGGUUCAAUAGUGAAAGACGGUUUUGCUGUCACUUAUAGAUGGAUCCGCGCCGCAUUAGCUAGUUGGUAAGGUAACGGCUUACCAAGGCAACGAUGCGUAGCCGACCUGAGAGGGUGGACGGCCAAACUGGAACUGAGACACGGUCCAGACGCCUACGGGAGGCAGAAGUAGGGAAUCUUCCGCAAUGGGCGAAAGCCUGACGGAGCAACGCCGCGUGAGUGAUGAAGGUCUUCGGAUCGUAAAACUCUGUUAUUAGGGAAGAACAAAUGUGUAAGUAACUAUGCACGUCUUGACGGUACCUAAUCAGAAAGCCACGGCUAGCUACGUG
rnacentral:rRNA from 1 species